UACACACCGCCCGUCACACCAUGGGAGUUGGCUGCACCAGAAGCCGGUAGUCUAACCGCAAGGGGGACGCCGUCUACGGUGUGGUCAAUGACUGGGGUG
rnacentral:rRNA from 1 species